rnacentral:rRNA from 1 species
GUUUUUCGCUCUAAGAUGAGCCCGCGUAAGAUUAGCUAGUUGGUGAGGUAACGGCUCACCAAGGCGACGAUCUUUAGCUGGUCUGAGAGGAUGAUCAGCCACACUGGAACUGAGACACGGUCCAGACUCCUACGGGAGGCAGCAGUAGGGAAUAUUGCACAAUGGAGGAAACUCUGAUGCAGCGACGCCGCGUGAGCGAUGAAGGCCUUCGGGUUGUAAAGCUCUGUCGCAUGGGAAUAAGACAGUG